GACGAACGCUGGCGGCGUGCUUAACACAUGCAAGUCGAACGGUGAAGGGGUCUGCUUUUGUGGGCCCUGGAUGAGUGGCGAACGGGUGAGUAACACGUGAGUAACCUGCCCCCUUCUUCUGGAUAACCGCAUGAAAGUGUGGCUAAUACGGGAUAUUCUGGGUCUGUCGCAUGAUGGGUCUGGGAAAGAUUGCGCCUUUGGGUGUUUUUGGUGGGGGAUGGGCUCGCGGCCUAUCAGCUUGUUGGUGGGGUGAUGGCCUACCAAGGCGGUGACGGGUAGCCGGCCUGAGAGGGUGGACGGUCACACUGGGACUGAGACACGGCCCAGACUCCUACGGGAGGCAGCAAUUGGGAAUAUUGCACAAUGGGCGCAAGCCUGAUGCAGCGACGCCGCGUGAGGGAUGGAGGCCUUCGGGUUGUAAACCUCUUUCGCCAGUGAAGCAGGCCUGCUCCUUGUGGGUGGGUUGACGGUAGCUGGAUAAGAAGCGCCGGCUAACUACGUG
rnacentral:rRNA from 1 species